CCAGACUCCUACGGGAGGCAGCAGUGAGGAAUAUUGGUCAAUGGGCGAGAGCCUGAACCAGCCAAGUCGCGUGAAGGAUGAAGGAUCUAUGGUUUGUAAACUUCUUUUAUAUGGGAAUAAAGUGAGGAACGUGUUCCUUUUUGUAUGUACCAUAUGAAUAAGGAUCGGCUAACUCCGUGCCAGCAGCCGCGGUAAUACGGAGGAUCCGAGCGUUAUCCGGAUUUAUUGGGUUUAAAGGGAGCGUAGGUGGAUUGUUAAGUCAGUUGUGAAAGUUUGCGGCUCAACCGUAAAAUUGCAGUUGAAACUGGCAGUCUUGAGUACAGUAGAGGUGGGCGGAAUUCGUGGUGUAGCGGUGAAAUGCUUAGAUAUCACGAAGAACUCCGAUUGCGAAGGCAGCUCACUGGACUGCAACUGACACUGAGGCUCGAAAGUGUGGGUAUCAAACAGGAUUAGAUACCCCUGUAU
rnacentral:rRNA from 1 species